CGUCGCCAUUACUCUGUCCAUUUUUCCAAUUCGCUGGAGAGUGUUAAGAGAAAGCUGCUCAAAGAUGCAGCAGGUUCAUCUUGGAGGACCACCAUGGACCUGAGGGCACAUGGCUCCAUUCUCUAAAGCUCAGAAGUGAUGGAGAUGGAGGAAGGGAUGGAUGGAUGAUGGCUUCAGGGGGCUGAAGACGAUGCAGCCCUGCUGGGCUAACUGACAGAGCGAUGGAUGAUCGUGGCCUGAAAAUGACUGCUGCCAAAAUGGUGGCAUGUGGCUCAGCUGAAGCGAUGCACAGUGGGCUUUGAUUGCUUGUGUGUCCAAGAAUGCAGAGCAUUGCUGCCCUCUAUUCUCAAGCUCAGCAUACAAAUAAACUUGUUUGAAAUGAA